UACGUAGGGUGCAAGCGUUAAUCGGAAUUACUGGGCGUAAAGCGUGCGCAGGCGGUUUUGUAAGUCUGUCGUGAAAUCCCCGGGCUCAACCUGGGAAUUGCGAUGGAGACUGCAAGGCUAGAAUCUGGCAGAGGGGGGUAGAAUUCCACGUGUGAGCAGUGAAAAUGCGUAGAGAUGUGGAGGAACACCGAUGGCGAAGGCAGCCCCCUGGGUCAAGAUUGACGCUCAUGCACGAAAGCAUGGGGAGCAACAGGAUAGAUACCUUGUACGUCCAGACAAUCAUGUCCGUGUCUACCCGCA
rnacentral:rRNA from 1 species